rnacentral:rRNA from 2 species
UGACGCUGGCGGCGUGCCUAAUACAUGCAAGUCGAACGAGUUCUCGUUGAUGAUCGGUGCUUGCACCGAGAUUCAACAUGGAACGAGUGGCGGACGGGUGAGUAACACGUGGGUAACCUGCCCUUAAGUGGGGGAUAACAUUUGGAAACAGAUGCUAAUACCGCAUAGAUCCAAGAACCGCAUGGUUCUUGGCUGAAAGAUGGCGUAAGCUAUCGCUUUUGGAUGGACCCGCGGCGUAUUAGCUAGUUGGUGAGGUAAUGGCUCACCAAGGCGAUGAUACGUAGCCGAACUGAGAGGUUGAUCGGCCACAUUGGGACUGAGACACGGCCCAAACUCCUACGGGAGGCAGCAGUAGGGAAUCUUCCACAAUGGACGCAAGUCUGAUGGAGCAACGCCGCGUGAGUGAAGAAGGCUUUCGGGUCGUAAAACUCUGUUGUUGGAGAAGAAUGGUCGGCAGAGUAACUGUUGUCGGCGUGACGGUAUCCAACCAGAAAGCCACGGCUAACUACGUGCCAGCAGCCGCGGUAAUACGUAGGUGGCAAGCGUUAUCCGGAUUUAUUGGGCGUAAAGCGAGCGCAGGCGGUUUUUUAAGUCUGAUGUGAAAGCCCUCGGCUUAACCGAGGAAGCGCAUCGGAAACUGGGAAACUUGAGUGCAGAAGAGGACAGUGGAACUCCAUGUGUAGCGGUGAAAUGCGUAGAUAUAUGGAAGAACACCAGUGGCGAAGGCGGCUGUCUGGUCUGUAACUGACGCUGAGGCUCGAAAGCAUGGGUAGCGAACAGGAUUAGAUACCCUGGUAGUCCAUGCCGUAAACGAUGAAUGCUAGGUGUUGGAGGGUUUCCGCCCUUCAGUGCCGCAGCUAACGCAUUAAGCAUUCCGCCUGGGGAGUACGACCGCAAGGUUGAAACUCAAAGGAAUUGACGGGGGCCCGCACAAGCGGUGGAGCAUGUGGUUUAAUUCGAAGCAACGCGAAGAACCUUACCAGGUCUUGACAUCUUUUGAUCACCUGAGAGAUCAGGUUUCCCCUUCGGGGGCAAAAUGACAGGUGGUGCAUGGUUGUCGUCAGCUCGUGUCGUGAGAUGUUGGGUUAAGUCCCGCAACGAGCGCAACCCUUAUGACUAGUUGCCAGCAUUUAGUUGGGCACUCUAGUAAGACUGCCGGUGACAAACCGGAGGAAGGUGGGGAUGACGUCAAAUCAUCAUGCCCCUUAUGACCUGGGCUACACACGUGCUACAAUGGAUGGUACAACGAGUUGCGAGACCGCGAGGUCAAGCUAAUCUCUUAAAGCCAUUCUCAGUUCGGACUGUAGGCUGCAACUCGCCUACACGAAGUCGGAAUCGCUAGUAAUCGCGGAUCAGCACGCCGCGGUGAAUACGUUCCCGGGCCUUGUACACACCGCCCGUCACACCAUGAGAGUUUGUAACACCCGAAGCCGGUGGCGUAACCCUUUUAGGGAGCGAGCCGUCUAAGGUGGGACAAAUG